rnacentral:rRNA from 1 species
GAUGAACGCUGGCGGCGUGCCUAAUACAUGCCAGUCGAGCGAACGGACGAGAAGCUUGCUUCUCUGAUGUUAGCGGCGGACGGGUGAGUAACACGUGGAUAACCUACCUAUAAGACUGGGAUAACUUCGGGAAACCGUAGCUAAUACCGGAUAAUAUUUUGAACCGCAUGGUUCAAAAGUGAAAGACGGUCUUGCUGUCACUUAUAGAUGGUUCCGCGCUGCAUUAGCUAGUUGGUAAGGUAACGGCUUACCAAGGCAACGAUGCAUAGCCGACCUGAGAGGGUGAUCGGCCACACUGGAACUGAGACACGGUCCAGACUCCUACGGGAGGCAGCAGUAGGGAAUCUUCCGCAAUGGGCGAAAGCCUGACGGAGCAACGCCGCGUGAGUGAUGAAGGUCUUCGGAUCGUAAAACUCUGUUAUUAGGGAAGAACAUAUGUGUAAGUAACUGUGCACAUCUUGACGGUACCUAAUCAGAAAGCCACGGCUAACUACGUG